ACAUCCAGAGAACUUAGCAGAGAUGCUUUGGUGCCUUCGGGAACUCUGAGACAGGUGCUGCAUGGCUGUCGUCAGCUCGUGUUGUGAAAUGUUGGGUUAAGUCCCGNAACGAGCGCAACCCCUAUCCUUUGUUGCCAGCGAUUCGGUCGGGAACUCAAAGGAGACUGCCGGUGAUAAACCGGAGGAAGGUGGGGAUGACGUCAAGUCAUCAUGGCCCUUACGAGUAGGGCUACACACGUACUACAAUGGCGCAUACAAAGAGAAGCGACCUCGCGAGAGCAAGCGGACCUCAUAAAGUGCGUCGUAGUCCGGAUUGGAGUCUGCAACUCGACUCCAUGAAGUCGGAAUCGCUAGUAAUCGUAGAUCAGAAUGCUACGGUGAAUACGUUCCCGGGCCUUGUACACACCGCCCGUCACACCAUGGGAGUGGGUUGCAAAAGAAGUAGAUAGCUUAACCUUCGGGAGGGCGUUUACCACUUUGUGAUUCAUGACUGGGGUGAAGUCGUAACAAGGUAGGCGUAGCGAG
rnacentral:rRNA from 1 species